AGUAACGGCGAGUGAAGCGGUAACAGCUCAAAUUUGAAAUCUGGCUCCCUGCGGAGUCCGAGUUGUAAUUUGUAGAAGAUGCUUUGGGUGCACGAUCCGGCCUAAGUGCCUUGGAACAGGACGUCGUAGAGGGUGAGAAUCCCGUAUGCGGCCGGUUUCGACGCCCGUGUAAAGCUCUUUCGACGAGUCGAGUUGUUUGGGAAUGCAGCUCAAAAUGGGUGGUAAAUUUCAUCUAAAGCUAAAUAUGGGCCAGAGACCGAUAGCGCACAAGUAGAGUGAUCGAAAGAUGAAAAGCACUUUGGAAAGAGAGUUAAACAGUACGUGAAAUUGUUGAAAGGGAAGCGCUUGCAACCAGACUUGGGCGUCGCUGAUCAUCCAAAGUUCUCUUUGGUGCACUCGACGACGCACAGGCCAGCAUCGGUUGGGGUGGUGGGAGAAAGACUGCAGGAACGUAGCUCUUUUCGGAGAGUGUUAUAGCCUGCGGUGCAAUACCGCCUACCUCGACCGAGGACCGCGCUUCGGCUAGGAUGCUGGCGUAAUGGUUGUAAGCGACCCGUCUUGAAACACGGACCAAGGAGUCUAACAUCUAUGCGAGUGUUUGGGUGCGAAACCCAUGCGCGAAAUGAAAGUGAACGUAGGUGAGAACCCUUUAAGGGGGCAUCAUCGACCGAUCCUGAUGUCUUCGGAUGGAUUUGAGUAAGAGCAUAGCUGUUGGGA
rnacentral:rRNA from 4 species